GCAGAAGCAUCACACAGCCCAGUAACUUUGCUAGUACCUCUUGAGUGCAAAGUGUAGAAUUAAGAUCUGGAUUUGAGAUCCAGCACGGAACAUUUCACUUGGGAAGAGCUAUGAACACGCUGACUGCUAGCCUGCUGAGGGCAGUCAUAGCCUCCAUCUGUCUUGGAUCCAGCAUGGCCCAGAAGGUUACUCAAGCUCAGACUGAAAUUUCCGUGGUGGAGAAGGAAGAUGUGACCUUGGACUGUGUGUAUGAAACCAGUGAUACUACUUACUACUUAUACUGGUACAAGCAACCACCAACUCGAGAAAUGAUUUUCCUUAUUCGUCAGAGCUCUUUUAAUGAGCAAAAUGAAAUCAAUGGUCGGUAUUCUUGGAACUUCCAGAGAUCCACCAGUUCCUUCAACCUCACCAUCACAGCCUCACAAGUCAUUGACUCAGCAGUGUAUUUCUGUGCUCUGAGUGAGGCCACAAUGAGAUGGGUGCCUGUGGGAGCCCUACAAAAACCUCAACAAGAGAUAGGGCCCCUGGGGAGAGACUCCAUCACACACAGGAAGAAGCAAGGAGGGGCUGUUCAGCACAGGUGGUUUGGCAAGGAAACCUGAG